GCAAACUUGGUCAUUUAGAGGAAGUAAAAGUCGUAACAAGGUCUCCGUAGGUGAACCUGCGGAGGGAUCAUUACAAGUAAACCUGUCUCCGGAUGGGCUACUACCAACCCUUUGUUGUCCGACCGCGUUGCCUCCGGGGCGACCCUGACCUCCGGGUCACGGGGGACCCCGGGUGGACACCUAAACUCUGCGUAACUUUGCAGUCUGAGUAAAAGAUUUAAUAAAUCAAAACUUUCAACAACGGAUCUCUUGGUUCUGGCAUCGAUGAAGAACGCAGC
rnacentral:misc_RNA from 1 species